GUUGGAACGCCUCAGCACAGCCAAGAGAUGAUUAUUAUUAUUUUUUAAAAUGUCAGUAGGCGCCGUGGGACGCAGGAGACUCAGAAGCAGUCGACGAAGCACUUGAAGGAGUUGUUCCGUUCCCAAAAAAAAGCCGAUUCGGAAGUCCGUGGUGGCUCUUCUGGUGAUGCCGCGGUGCGACAGACGCAGACUGAGAGAACAAGUGACGCUCCAGACGUUGUCGUCACCCCUGCACCCCUCCCCCGCUGCCGCGCUCUGAUUGGCUGACGGGAGGGCGCACGGACACGGUAUCGUCAUCAUCCUCCUCCUCACCAUCAUCAUCAUCAUUAUCAGAACCCGCUCCUGCACAAUCCCGCGGAUGGAUGGCUUGGUUGCAGCGCCUACGUCACCGCGCAAGAAUCACGCCGAGGCGACUUUGAAAAUGCACCUUCACGGCGGUUGCCAUGUUGGGCCCGUAUGAAGCUGCAGGGGCGGGGCUAAAUAAGUGACCUCGGAGCUGGAGUCAGUCUGGUUGACCAGUUAUUCCAGUGUGCGCGUUUGCUCCAUGCUCCUUAAAUCAACCGAGAUGCUCCGCGACUACAAAAUCUCCUAAAUUGGAGCAUGCGAACAUGAGCGCACCACUGUAUCGCAGAAGAAUGCUCACCAGUUCGUCGUAAGUACGGUUGUCGGCCACAGGAAACGUAGUCUCCCC